GUCUUUUUGAGUUAUUUUUAAAGUCUGACCUGCCCACUGAAUAUUUUUAAAUGGCCGCAGUAUUCUAACUGUGCAAAGGUAGCAUAAUCAUUAGUCUUUUAAUUGAAGGCUGGUAUGAACGGUUGGACGAAGUAUAAGCUGUUUCAUAUAAAAUUAUAUUAGAAUUUUAUAUUUUAGUUAAAAAGCUAAAAUAUUAUUAAAAGACGAGAAGACCCUAUAAAUCUUUAUAUUUAAUAUUAUUCAAAUUUUUUUGAUUAAUUUUAUUUUUAUAAUAUUAAAUAUUUUGUUGGGGUGAUAUUAAAAUUUAAUAAACUUUUAAUUUUGAAUUAGAACANUAAUUUAUGAAUAGUUGAUCCAUUAUUAAUGAUUAUAAGAUUAAGUUACUUUAGGGAUAACAGCGUAAUUUUUUUUGAGAGUUCAUAUCGACAAAAAAGUUUGCGACCUCGAUGUUGGAUUAAGAUAUAUAUUUAGGUGUAGCCGNUUAAAUAUUAAGUCUGUUCGACUUUUAAAUUCUUACAUGAUCUGAGUUCAA
rnacentral:rRNA from 1 species